GUUGACCAAAUUGUUCCGGAAGAUAUCUCUUUUGUGCGCCACUGCAUGCCACCGCUUGGUUAUAUUUGUAAUUUUGUGUUUCUUUGAUUGCUUAUAAGAUGCAAACAGUCUUCAUGCAAAAUCGACUGUGUACUUCACUUCUCAGUUGCAUGUAAAGCUUCUUCUCAAUUGUUGUGAAUCCAGAAACUCAUACACAAGGUUUCCAACAAAGUUGCUGCACUGCUUUCUGCCUUAGCCAUCAAUGGAGGUAUUGUUUUGCUAGGUUUAUUAACUUGCCUGUUUGUUCAUAGUUUGUCUCUAUCGUCUUUCCUGUUGUUCCUACCAGUUUUUUUUUUUCCUUAUUAUUACGCUUAAGAAGCUUCUGUUUUAUUCACUGUGUAAUUAUGUUAAAACAAAUCUCCUCGAUUGUAAUACGGACAACAUGAGUUCCUCUAAGUUAUAUCGACUUGACAAUGCUCUGAAUGUUCGUGAGAAAAAAAAUGAGUGGAAUAGAAAAAAGAGAGAAAAAUUUGCUGCUCUUUCGAAGGAAAAGAGGCUCAUCGAAGGAAAAGUAGAGAUGCGUAUCACAGAAAAAAUUUAACCAAACUUUUGUCCAAGCCAGUUGGUGAACAAUCUCAGCAGAUUUCCAAACUAUCAGAUACUUUAGGCUCUGUUACACCAGCUACUUCUAACAAUUGUGCUGAUGGUACGUAUCCAUUGCACAAUUUUGGCUUUCUCGUUUAUCCGUAAGCUUUCUCAUUUAUUCAUCGUUUUUUUUGAUAUUGUUGUAUGCAGCCUGACUCUUUGUCUACCGUGUAUUGCAGCUGCAAAACUUCAUGCAAAUACACUUGCUCAAAGAGCUGAUGGCUGUGUCAACACAGCUACCUCUUCUAAUCCUCAACUAUCUGCAUGCAACCGUCAAUAUGACAAUGUUACUUGGCUUCAAAUGUGCUCCGUCCCUCCUGCCUUCCAUGCACAUCAAAAUCAUCUUCGAGAUUCGCACAUUUCGCCGCUUUCCUAUGCCACUAUACAUGAUUAUGGUACAUGCCUAAUGGUUAUACUUACUACUAUAAGGAACUGGCACAAUUGUUUGUUUAUUUUCGGUUGCUGUCCUCAACUCUGUAUUUCUGUCUGUCUACUUGGUAGACAAUGAGGUUCCUAUACCUGACGCUGCAUCAAAAUUGAAGAAUGGUGUCUCCUACAUAUGAAUGAAAACAACUACUCCCUCUGUCCCAAAAUUUGGGACGCUUUUUGGGAAAUGC